AAGUGAAUGAGUAGUAAUAUAUAGGAGUAGUCAUAAUUGACCGUUACAAUUUAAAAUUCAAAAUCAAGCAAUUACUGACGGCCAUAAGCCGUCAUAAUUGUCCAACGGAAAUGUCCUUACUGACGGCCUGGGACCGUCAUAAAUCACAUGCGUUACUGACGGCCCAGGACCGUCAUAAAGCUUAACGGCUAGUGCGAUACUGACGGCCUGGGACCGUCUAAAAUAGGCAGUUCAAUACUGACGGCCCAGGACCGUCACUAAUGCUUAAUAGUUAAUUUUUUAAUUAUUUCCGUUCUUCAAGACUACUUACUGACGGCCAUAAGCCUU
rnacentral:lncRNA from 1 species